GCCCUCAGCGCCAUAGCAGCCUGAUUGCCUUUGAGCUUGUAAGCUAAGUAGGGUCAGGCCUGGCUGGGGAUUGGAUGGGAGACCACCUGCAGAGACUGGGGGCUGGAGGCU
ensembl:rRNA 5S_rRNA 5S ribosomal RNA